rnacentral:tRNA from 1 species
GAGACAUUGGUGUAGUGGCAGCACAACAGGUUGUGGUCCUGUUAGCAGGGGUUCGAAUCCCCUAUGUCUCC